CACACAGACAUGAAAUCACUUUAAAACAUUAAAGGUGACAGUUCAAACCCUUCACUGAGGCAUUAACAUUUCCAACAUUCUUUGAAAGACGGCACUAAACUAAGGAAGUGACACCAGAUAAGCAUCUACUAAGCCUCUCACAACCUCAUCCUGGUUUUUAAUGUGAUUCAGUCGUCACAAACGGUGGACCGAGUGUUGACUUUCUCUGGAAAUUCAAGGACACUCGUCUUCAAUGGGAGUUCCACACCCGAAGAUGGAGUAUCUGGGCCCACACAAAGUAGCAUUCACACUGCUUAUCUCUACACAUCCACAGUUGAAGUCUAGAUGGUUCUUUACAUUGUAUCUUUCUGCAGGUGGUAAAGAUUAAUUAAACAGACACUUGGUCCUCCUCUGCUGCAUCAGUGCAUCCCAUUGAACAUUUGGCCUAAUUUCUUGCUCAUUUUUGUUGUCAAAGAUUAACUUCUAUACUUGUAUUUUCAUAUUUGCAGUCCAAUUAGGAAGAACACAUGCUUCAAAUUAAAAGACACAAAAACAUGUUCUGUCUAAACCACCACAUCAUCAGACUUUCCUUAGAUUUCAUAACAAAACACUGGGUUCUUAACUUCUAUUAGAGCCAUUUACUGGCUCCCAUAAUGUCUUAACCCGAGCAGCAGUAAAACCACUCUUUAAAGUGAACCAGGAACAUCCGCCAGGUUGGUAUAUUUUUUAAACAAACACCCCAACACUGCACAUUAAAACCGAUUCUGUGUGUUUCUUUAGCUGUGUAUUAACAUAUUCACUGCACACUACAGCAAUAACAGACUUCCUCUGAAUCUGUUGCAGCCGCAGACUAACUCUCCUCAGGACUUAAUUUAAAAUAAUUAAUUUCGCAGAACAGGAACGUCAGAUUCUGCCAUGGUAUUAAUGAACAAGCUGCAUAAAUGUUGGCUUGAUCAACAGAUCACCGGUAAACACUGAAUAACAACUAUAAGCUUCAGAUUAAGGAAGCCGUGAUCGAAAGGAAAAAUCACAAUCACAGCAACAAAUGAACAUUUCCGCUUAAACCCAAAGCCCACAACAAACCACUGCUCCCUGCUAAGCUAAGGCUAGCUAGCUAGCCAGGAGGGCAACUCACUCCUUAGCUCAGUAAGUGAGGGCAUUUUUUCCCCACAACAUGCCUUUCAAUAAACACAUUUAACGCUUGUGUGGGGGAAGAAAAUGUGCAAAAACAAUACAAUACCAGAACUUGGAGUCGACGAAUCACACUGUCAAUGCUUCUUGGUGGACUGAUAAGCGAGAAUAACGAAACAAACUGCCAAAACAAGACCAGCAUCAACGUCACACGCACAAUGGCUUUGGCAGCGUAGGCCCGUGGUCUUCUGGGAAAUGUGGUCCUACCCUCGUUCCCAGCCGACCACAGUUUUUGGAUCCGCGGUUUACAAAACAGUAAGAGUUCCGUUAGGGGGUUUGUGAAUUUCAUGACUUCGAUGAUGGAUGUUUGACUAUCAAAGAUGAACGUAUUUAAAGACACUUGGAACUAAUGUCUUUUAUAAACAAUACUACUAUGAUCUGAUACUUCACUACUCAGUUUCAAAGUAAAAAAAGGGGGUUAUAUAUAUACAACAUGUAUUUGAAUGUAUGGGUGAUGUAUUCAUCUGCUGUUACGCUGAUCUAUUUUUAUUUUCCAUGUUUUUCUAAUCCUAGAAGAUAACCUUUAAACCAGUAGGUGGCAGUAUUAAGAUGUACCAUAGGUGCCCCUCGAACGUGACUCCCUUGUGCUGUCAGAUGACGAUAUUUCCUGCUUGGACAAGAUUUAGAACAUACAUUUACUAUAGUUAUUUGAUGACUAAACACAAAUUCAAUUUUUUAUUUGAUUUUCUUUUUACUCCAAUAACAACAUGUAAAACCUCAGUUGAAACACAAUCGCACACAGACAGACACAUAAAAACAUACUCCUGGACCUCGGCAUGUAUUUUCAACGUAGUUUUCUUUAAUAUAAUCUUAUUUACACUGUAUUUUUCCAUAAAUGUUUACUACAUAGUAAGAUACAAUACUCUUGCAUCCAUUACACAAUGAACUCAGAACCUAAAAAAGGCAGAUUGAAAUACUGCUGAACAGCUUUCGAUCUACAACCAAUCUCAAGGUUUUUCCAUAUCACUUACUUUAAAAUGUAGUUUGUAUUUUAUUCACUUUUGUAGGGAAUUACUGACUUAAGAGACUUUGUUCAUUCAGGGUGGUCGUGAGGAGGAGGAUGGAGGGUUAAAGAUUAGUCUAUGGAGCAAUGGAAAAAAAAA